UUCCGGUUGAUCCCGCCGGAGGCCAUUGCUAUCGGAGUCCGAUUUAGCCAUGCUAGUCGUGCGAGUUCAGACUCGCGGCACCGAGCUCAGUAACACGUGGCCAAACUACCCUACAGAGACGGAUACCCUCGGGAAACUGAGGUUAACCCGUCAUACCGAUCUCAAGCUUGAAUCGCAGAGAUCACAAAAUGCCCCGGCGCUGUAGGAUGUGGCUGCGGUUGAUUAGGUAGACGGUGGGGUAACGGCCCACCGUGCCAAUAAUCGGAACAGGUUGUGAGAGCAAGAACCUGGAGACGGCAUCUGAGACAAGAUGCCGGGCCCUACGGGGCGCAGCAGGCGCGAAACCUUUACACUGCACGCACGUGCGAUAAGGGGACUCCGAGUGCGAGGGCAUAUCGUCCUCGCUUUUGUGUACCGUAGGGUGGUACACGAACAAGGGCUGGGCAAGACCGGUGCCAGCCGCCGCGGUAAUACCGGCAGCCCGAGUGAUGGCCGAUCUUAUUGGGCCUAAAGCGUCCGUAGCUGGGUCUGAAAGUCCAUCGGGAAAUCCACUCGCUCAACGAGUGGCCGUCCGGUGGAAACUCCACACCUUGGGACCGGAAGGCUCGAAGGGUACGGCCGGGGUAGGAGUGAAAUCCUGUAAUCCCGUCCGGACCACCGAUGGCGAAAGCACUUCGAGAAAACGGAUCCGACAGUGAGGGACGAAAGCUAAGAUCGCGAACCGGAUUAGAUACCCGGGUAGUCUUAGCCGUAAACAAUGUUCGUUAGGUAUGACACAGACUACGCGUCUC
rnacentral:rRNA from 1 species